rnacentral:rRNA from 1 species
UGUGGAAGCCCGGUAACGGGUGAAGCUGACUGGUACUAAUAGGCCGAGGGCUUGUCCUCAGUUG